rnacentral:rRNA from 1 species
AGUGAACGCUGGCGGUAGGCCUAACACAUGCAAGUCGAACGGCAGCACAGUAAGAGCUUGCUCUUACGGGUGGCGAGUGGCGGACGGGUGAGGAAUACAUCGUAAUCUACUUUUUCGUGGGGGAUAACGUAGGGAAACUUACGCUAAUACCGCAUACGACCUACGGGUGGAAGCAGGGGAUCUUCGGACCUUGCGCGAUUGAAUGAGCCGAUGUCGGAUUAGCUAGUUGGCGGGGUAAAGGCCCACCAAGGCGACGAUCCGUAGCUGGUCUGAGAGGAUGAUCAGCCACACUGGAACUGAGACACGGUCCAGACUCCUACGGGAGGCAGCAGUGGGGAAUAUUGGACAAUGGGCGCAAGCCUGAUCCAGCCAUACCGCGUGGGUGAAGAAGGCCUUCGGGUUGUAAAGCCCUUUUGUUGGGAAAGAAAAGCAGCAGGUUAAUACCCCGCUGUUCUGACGGUACCCAAAGAAUAAGCACCGGCUAACUUCGUG